GACGAACGCUGGCGGCGUGCUUAACACAUGCAAGUCGUACGGUAAGGCCCUUUCGGGGGUCCACGAGUGGCGAACGGGUGAGUAACACGUGAGUAACCUGCCCACAACUUUGGGAUAACGCUAGGAAACUGGUGCUAAUACUGGAUAUGUGCUCCUGCUGCAUGGUGGGGGUUGGAAAGCUCCGGCGGUUGUGGAUGGACUCGCGGCCUAUCAGCUUGUUGGUGGGGUAGUGGCCUACCAAGGCGGCGACGGGUAGCCGGCCUGAGAGGGUGACCGGCCAGAAUGGGGGGAGGGAGACGCCCCGGACUCCUCCGGGGGGAAGAGGGGGGGAAUAUGGCACACGGGGGGCAAGCGUGAGGCGGAACGCCGGGGGGGGGGAGGUCGGCGUUCGGGUGUUAAACGGCUUUCAGCGGGGAGGAGGCUUUUUUGGAGGUUACCUGAAGAAGAAGCACCGGCUAAAUACG
rnacentral:rRNA from 1 species